rnacentral:rRNA from 1 species
UACAGAGACUGCAAGCGUUAUUCGGAUUCACUGGGCGUAAAGGGUGCGCAGGCGGUCGGGUGUGUCAGAUGUGAAAUCCCGAGGCUCAACCUCGGAACUGCGUCUGAAACUACUCGACUAGAGUACUGGAGAGGGUAACGGAAUUCACGGUGUAGCAGUGAGAUGCGUAGAUAUCGUGAGGAACACCAGAGGCGAAGGCGGUUACCUGGACAGUUACUGACGCUCAGGCACGAAAGCAUGGGGAGCAAAAGGG